CCAAUAGCGUAUAUUAAAGUUGUUGCAGUUAAAAAGCUCGUAGUUGAAUUUCGGGGUUAGUAAGUUGGUCGUGCCACUGGUAUGUACUGGCUUUACUGAUUCCUCCUUCUUGUAGAACCGUAAUGCCAUUAAGUUGGUGUUGCGGGGAAACAGGACUGUUACUUUGAAAAAAUUAGUGUUUAAAGCAAGCUAACGCGUGAAUACAUUAGCAUGGAAUAAUGAAAUAGGACGUUCGAUCCUAUUUUGUUGGUUUCUAGGAUUGACGUAAUGAUUAAUAGGGAUAGUUGGGGGAAUUAGUAUUCAAUUGUCAGAGGGGAAAUUCUUGGAUUUAUUGAAGACUAACUACUGCGAAAGCAUUUGCCAAGGAUGUUUUCAUUAAUCAAGAACGAAAGUUAGGGGAUCGACGACGAUCAGAUACCGUCGUAGUCUUAACCAUAAACUAUGCCGACUAGGGAUCGGAUGAUGUUAAUUUUAUAAUGACUCAUUCGGCGCCUUACG
rnacentral:misc_RNA from 1 species